CCUAUGUCGCAUUAGCUAGUUGGCGAGGUAAUGGCUCACCAAGGCGACGAUCCAUAGCUGGUCUGAGAGGAUGAUCAGCCACAUCGGGACUGAGACACGGCCCGAACUCCUACGGGAGGCAGCAGUGGGGAAUAUUGGACAAUGGGCGAUGGCCUGAUCCAGCCAUGCCGCGUGUGUGAGAAAGGCUUUCGGGUUGUAAAGCACUUUCAGUGAGGAAGAACGCCUUGGGCGUAAUACCCCCGAGGGAAGACAUCACUCACAGAAGAAGCACCGGCUAACUCCGUGCCAGCAGCCGCGGUAAUACGGAGGGUGCAAGCGUUAAUCGGAAUUACUGGGCGUAAAGCGCGCGUAGGCGGCGUGAUAAGCCGGUUGUGAAAGCCCCGGGCUCAACCUGGGAACGGCAUCCGGGACUGUCAGCUUAGAGUGCAGGAGAGGGAGGUAGAAUUCCCGGUGCAGCGGUGAAAUGCGUAGAGAUCGGGAGGAAUACCAGUGGCGAAGGCGGCCUUCUGGACUGACACUGACGCUGAGGUGCGAAAGCGUGGGUAGCAAUCAGGAUUAGAUACCCUGGUAGUCCACGCCGUAGACGAUGUCGACUAGCCGUUGGGGUCCUAGAGACCUUUGUGGCGCAGUUAACGCGAUAAGUCGACCGCCUGGGGAGUACGGCCGCAAGGUUAAAACUCAAAUGAAUUGACGGGGGCCCGCACAAGCGGUGGAGCAUGUGGUUUGAUUCGAUGCAACGCGAAGAACCUUACCUACCCUUGACAUCGUGCGAACUUGGUAGAGAUGCCUUGGUGCCUUCGGGAGCGCACAGACAGGUGCUGCAUGGCUGUCGUCAGCUCGUGUUGUGAAAUGUUGGGUUAAGUCCCGUAACGAGCGCAACCCUUGUCCCUAUUUGCCAGCGAUUCGGUCGGGAACUCUAGGGAGACUGCCGGUGACAAACCGGAGGAAGGUGGGGACGACGUCAAGUCAUCAUGGCCCUUACGGGUAGGGCUACACACGUGCUACAAUGGCCGGUACAAAGGGUUGCGAAUCCGCGAGGUGGAGCUAAUCCCGAAAAGCCGGUCUCAGUCCGGAUCGGAGUCUGCAACUCGACUCCGUGAAGUCGGAAUCGCUAGUAAU
rnacentral:rRNA from 1 species